AACGAACGCUGGCGGCAGGCUUAACACAUGCAAGUCGAACGCCCCGCAAGGGGAGUGGCAGACGGGUGAGUAACGCGUGGGAACAUACCCUUUUCUACGGAAUAGCUCUGGGAAACUGGAAUUAAUACCGUAUACGCCCUACGGGGGAAAGAUUUAUCGGGGAAGGAUUGGCCCGCGUUGGAUUAGCUAGUUGGUGGGGUAAAGGCCUACCAAGGCGACGAUCCUUAGCUGGUCUGAGAGGAUGAUCAGCCACACUGGGACUGAGACACGGCCCAGACUCCUACGGGAGGCAGCAGUGGGGAAUAUUGGACAAUGGGCGGAAGCCUGAUCCAGCCAUGCCGCGUGAGUGAUGAAGGCCUUAGGGUUGUAAAGCUCUUUCACCUGGGAAGAUAAUGACGGUACCAGGAGAAGAAGCCCCGGCUAACUUCGUGCCAGCCGCCGCAGUAACAC
rnacentral:rRNA from 1 species